rnacentral:rRNA from 1 species
CCUACGGGUGGCAGCAGUCGGGAAUAUUGCGCAAUGGAGGAAACUCUGACGCAGUGACGCCGCGUGCAGGAAGAAGGUUUUCGGAUUGUAAACUGCUUUAGACAGGGAAGAUAAUGACAGUACCUGUAGAAUAAGCUCCGGCUAACUACGUUCCAGCAGCCGCGGUAAUACGUAGGGCGCCAGCGUUAUCCGGAUUUAUUGGGUGUAAAGGGUGCGUAGACGGGAAGGCAAGUUAGUUGUGAAAUCCCUCGGCUUAACUGAGGAACUGCAACUAAAACUAUCUUUCUUGAGUGCUGGAGAGGAAAGUGGAAUGCCUAGUGUAGCGGUGAAAUGCGUAGAUAUUAGGAGGAACACCAGUGGCGAAGGCGACUUUCUGGAAAGGAACUGACGUUGAGGCACGAAAGUGUGGGGAGCAAACAGGAUUAGAUACCCGGGUAGUC